CGUACUGAUACAGCUAGUCUGCAGGAGGAGUGAGCGUAGUACUUCCUGCAGAUGGGCUGAACUGGGUAGCGAUCUGAGAGUGGCCAGUGAGACGACGCAUUCAGGUCUAACACUUACACUGAUGUUGCAACAGCGGGGUAGCAACUAGGAUUUGAUACUCUUGUAGUGCACGCAGUAAAGAAUGUAGACCAGCUCUCACUGCAUAGCGCUCUGUGCGUGGAUACUCACACGUCAGAUCUACCGCUCGGGGAGUACGGCCGUCAGGUAGAAACUCAAGUGAUUUGCCGUGGGCCCGCACAAGCCGUGGAGCAUGUGGUGUAAUUGGAUGCAACGCGAAGAACCUUACCUACUCUUGACAUCGUGCGAAUUCGGUAGAGAUACCUUAGUGCCUUCGGGAACGCAGAGACAGGUGCUGCAUGGCUGUCGUCAGACUCGUGUUGUGAAAUGUCGGGUUAAGUCCCGUAACGAGCGCAACCCUUGUCAUUAUUUGCCAGCGCGUAAUGGCGGGAACUAUAAGGAGACUGCCGGUGACAAACCGGAGGAAGGUGGGGAUGACGUCAAGUCAUCAUGGCCCUUACGAGUAGGGCUACACACGUGCUACAAUGGUCGGUACAAAGGGUUGCCAACUCGCGAGAGUGAGCCAAUCCCGAAAAGCCGAUCUCAGUCCGGAUCGGAGUAGGCAACUCGACUCCGUGAAGUCGGCAUCGAUAGUAAUAGUAGAUCAGAACGAUCCGGUGAAUACGUUCCCGGGCUUCGUACACACCGCCCGUCACACCAUGGGAGUGGACCGCACCAGAAGUGGUUAGCAUAACGCAAGAGGAAGAUCACCACGGUGGAUUCAUGACUGGGGGAAGUAGUAACAAGGUAACCGUAA
rnacentral:rRNA from 1 species